GCUGGCGUAAUGGCAGUUUGCGACCCGUCUUGAAACACGGACCAAGGAGUCUAACAUCUGUGCGAGUGUUUGGGUGUAAAACCCAUGCGCGUAAUGAAAGUGAACGGAGGUGGGAAGCGCAAGCUGCACCAUCGACCGAUCCUGAUGUCUUCGGAUGGAUUUGAGUAAGAGCAUAGCUGUUGGGACCCGAAAGAUGGUGAACUAUGCCUGAAUAGGGUGAAGCCAGAGGAAACUCUGGUGGAGGCUCGCAGCGGUUCUGACGUGCAAAUCGAUCGUCAAA
rnacentral:rRNA from 1 species